CAUCUUUGAGGCCAUGAAGUUGCUGGAUGGUUGCUCAUUGCUUGUGCUGCUUCAAUGCCAGGUCGCACUCAGCAAAGCCCAGGGACAAGAGAAGAGGAAGGACUCAAAGGAGCCAAGGCAGACAGUGAAAAAUCAGCAAGGGAUAUCCUCAAACACCAGGAAAUUGCACAAUUGGAAUGACUGCUUAACUCAAAUUGCAACAACUCAGAAUUGCAACAGCCUUUGGAGUGAGCUCAUGCCUGACUGCUGAAACAGAAUAUUCACUGAUAAAAUAUUUAUGUGUUUAAAGAAGAAAGCCUGCAAUACAUACCUCAAAG
rnacentral:lncRNA from 1 species